GAUGAUACCCAUUGCAUAGUUCACACUGAACCAUCGUGUUGACAACUAUAUAUCUUUCAAACGUCUUUCGCUCCUAUCUGA
rfam:Sphaerobolus stellatus SS14 unplaced genomic scaffold SPHSTscaffold_324, whole genome shotgun sequence.